rnacentral:rRNA from 1 species
UACGUAGGGUGCAAGCGUUAAUCGGAAUUACUGGGCGUAAAGCGUGCGCAGGCGGUUCUGUAAGCCUGUCGUGAAAUCCCCGGGCUUAACCUGGGAAUGGCGAUGGUGACUGCAAGGCUAGAGUUUGGCAGAGGGGGGUAGAAUUCCACGUGUAGCAGUGAAAUGCGUAGAUAUGUGGAGGAACACCGAUGGCGAAGGCAGCCCCCUGGGUCAAAACUGACGCUCAUGCACGAAAGCGUGGGGAGCAAACAGG